rnacentral:rRNA from 1 species
CCGCCCCCACCCGAACGUUUGACCUNGGAUCAGGUAGGGAUACCCGCUGAACUUAAGCAUAUCAAUAAGCGGAGGAAAAGAAACCAACAGGGAUUGCCCUAGUAACGGCGAGUGAAGCGGCAACAGCUCAAAUUUGAAAUCUGGCCCCCCCGCGGGGGCCCGAGUUGUAAUUUGCAGAGGAUGCUUUUGGCGCGGCGCCUUCCGAGUUCCCUGGAAUGGGACGCCACAGAGGGUGAGAGCCCCGUACGGUCGGACGCCAAGCCUGUGUAAAGCUCCCUCGACGAGUCGAGUAGUUUGGGAAUGCUGCUCAAAACGGGAGGUAAAUUCCUUCUAAAGCUAAAUACCGGCCAGAGACCGAUAGCGCACAAGUAGAGUGAUCGAAAGAUGAAAAGCACUUUGAAAAGAGGGUUAAAAAGCACGUGAAAUUGUUGAAAGGGAAGCGCCUGUGACCAGACUUGGGCCCGGCGGAUCACCCGGCGUUAUCGCCGGUGCACUGCGCCGGGCUCAGGCCAGCAUCGGCUCCGGCGGGGGGAGAAAGGCCCGGGGAACGUAGCUCCCUCAGCGGA